UACAGAGGGUGCGAGCGUUAAUCGGAAUUACUGGGCGUAAAGCGUGCGUAGACGGUUAUUUAAGUCGGGUGUGAAAUCCCCGGGCUUAACCUGGGAAUUGCGCUUGAAACUAGCGGGCUUGAGUGUGGCAGAGGGGGGUGGAAUUCCACGUGUAGCAGUGAAAUGCGUAGAGAUGUGGAGGAACACCGAUGGCGAAGGCAGCCCCCCUGGGUCAACACUGACGCUCAUGCACGAAAGCGUGGGGAGCAAACAGG
rnacentral:rRNA from 1 species